rnacentral:tRNA from 1 species
GAGGGUAUAGCUCAAGUGGUAGGGCUCAUAUUUAGCAUGCACGAGGCCCUGGGUUCGAUCCCCAGUACCUCCU